rnacentral:lncRNA from 1 species
AUGAGCCGAGAGUGGGACAUGCUUAAUUACUUCAGGGUCUCCAGUUUGCGGUGGGUGUGCGGCCGCUGGAGCAGAGAGGCCAGUACAAGAGGGCAACGCUCAGGGGUCUGGGCAGUCUUCCCCGCACGGUCCGCGGGGAGAGGGCCGUCUCCAGCCCCGAACCCUUCGGGGACACGGGCGAUUACGCAGAGGAGCCUCAGAGCCCAGCGCGGCGCCCCCGCGGACCCCACGGAGCGGAGACCCAUGAGCAACCCUGGGCAUUCACCGGGACAGCCAAGAAGCUUGGGGCGCCUGCAAGUGAGGAAGCUUCGUCGGGCUCAGGCCCGCACCUCUGGCGUCCGCCCCGCCGCGGCCCGCGGAGUUCUCGGCUCGCAGAGGUCCCAGUCUGUGCGGCUGCCGCGGAAGGCAACCCCCGGUCACCAAGCCCACGUUAGCGGGACACCGACGUCAUUCCCACCCCUACAACAGCUUAGGCAAGAAUGCUGACGCUGUAUAGAUUCGCGGUAAGUCCUUGGACACCAUUUUUUUUUCUUGGUGUCAUAAUGUCAUCUCUUGGCCAAGGAUCUGAAAUUGCAUGUUAAAUUUCAUGGCUUUUAUAUGUUGUUGAAACCAGUGUGGCGUGCUGAAAUAUAUGCAGUAGUAAAUUUCAAAAAGUAAACAAAACCAAAACCCCAGCCGGAGCCCUGUGUUGGGGGCAGCCUGGUUUAAACAGCUGGGAAGAGAAGAGGGCAUGGGGAGUCCCCGGAAAGCGGCUAGGGCCCCUCCCUGCCGCCACAGCCUGUCCCCUCCCCCAGCUUGCAGAAAUAGACAAGCUCCCUCUGCCUCUCACUCUCAGGGCCAGUCCGGGAAGCCAGGUACAGUCCGCAGAUGGAGACGGGUGGCGCCUGAGUCCGCACAAGCCAACAGCUGCUUGGAAGCCCCCCCACCCCACUUUGUGCUCGCAGGAGGGAGGCGACGGAGGUCACCCAUCUGUGUCAGAGAAACACACGACCUCCAUCAGACUCUUCCUAGCUAGUUCCUGGCCAGGAAAAUUAGUGGAAUCCUACCACUAUUAAUAAUGUAAUAAAAAAUAAUGUAAUAAUAAUAAUCUCCCA